rnacentral:rRNA from 1 species
CCUACGGGUGACAGCAGUGAGGAAUAUUGGUCAAUGGACGAGAGUCUGAACCAGCCAAGUAGCGUGAAGGAUGACUGCCCUAUGGGUUGUAAACUUCUUUUAUAUGGGAAUAAAAUGUUCCACGUGUGGGAUUUUGUAUGUACCAUAUGAAUAAGGAUCGGCUAACUCCGUGCCAGCAGCCGCGGUAAUACGGAGGAUCCGAGCGUUAUCCGGAUUUAUUGGGAUUAAAGGGAGCGUAGGUGGAUUGUUAAGUCAGUUGUGAAAGUUUGCGGCUCAACCGUAAAAUUGCAGUUGAAACUGGCAGUCUUGAGUACAGUAGAGGUGGGCGGAAUUCGUGGUGUAGCGGUGAAAUGCUUAGAUAUCACGAAGAACUCCGAUUGCGAAGGCAGUUCACUGGACUGCAACUGACACUGAGGCUCGAAAGUGUGGGUAUCAAACAGGAUUAGAUACCCUAGUAGUC